GACGAACGCUGGCGGCGUGCUUAACACAUGCAAGUCGAACGGAAAGGCCCUGCUUUUGUGGGGUGCUCGAGUGGCGAACGGGUGAGUAACACGUGAGUAACCUGCCCUUGACUUUGGGAUAACUUCAGGAAACUGGGGCUAAUACCGGAUAGGAGCUCCUGCUGCAUGGUGGGGGUUGGAAAGUUUCGGCGGUUGGGGAUGGACUCGCGGCUUAUCAGCUUGUUGGUGGGGUAGUGGCUUACCAAGGCUUUGACGGGUAGCCGGCCUGAGAGGGGGACCGGCCACAUUGGGACUGAGAUACGGCCCAGACUCCUACGGGAGGCAGCAGUGGGGAGUAUUGCACAAUGGGCGGAAGCCUGAUGCAGCAACGCCGCGUGCGGGAUGACGGCCUUCGGGUUGUAAACCGCUUUCGCCUGUGACGAAGCGUGAGUGACGGUAAUGGGUAAAGAAGCACCGGCUAACUACGUG
rnacentral:rRNA from 1 species